CCUACGGGGGGCAGCAGUGGGGAAUAUUGGACAAUGGGGGCAACCCUGAUCCAGCCAUGCCGCGUGUGUGAAGAAGGCCCUCGGGUUGUAAAGCACUUUCAGUGAGGAAGAACGCCUGGUGGUUAAUACCCAUCAGGAAAGACAUCACUCACAGAAGAAGCACCGGCUAACUCCGUGCCAGCAGCCGCGGUAAUACGGAGGGUGCGAGCGUUAAUCGGAAUUACUGGGCGUAAAGCGCGCGUAGGUGGCUUGAUAAGCCGGUUGUGAAAGCCCCGGGCUCAACCUGGGAACGGCAUCCGGAACUGUCAAGCUAGAGUGCAGGAGAGGAAGGUAGAAUUCCCGGGGUAGCGGUGAAAUGCGUAGAGAUCGGGAGGAAUACCAGUGGCGAAGGCGGCCUUCUGGACUGACACUGACACUGAGGUGCGAAAGCGUGGGUAGCAAACAGGAUUAGAUACCCGAGUAGUC
rnacentral:rRNA from 1 species